AUGACUCAAACUCAUAAAAAUAGCAGUGAAAAUCCACGUCAAUUGAAAUUACUCAAAAACUCAGUGAAUCAGACCGCAAAUCGUCGAAUAGCAAAUGCCACGCCUUGGAGCCUCCCGCCUGCGCGUCACUGCAUGCCAUCCUUACUACACCUACCCGCGUCACUGAGGUAUCACGUUGCAUGUGCCCCACGCACUAUUGCGGUCUAA